rnacentral:rRNA from 1 species
UGCCGAGAGGUGAAACGAAAUUCGCCUGAGGAUGAGCCCGCGUCUGAUUAGCUAGUUGGUGUGGUAAUGGCUCACCAAGGCUUCGAUCAGUAGCUGGUCUGAGAGGAUGAUCAGCCACACUGGGACUGAGACACGGCCCAGACUCCUACGGGAGGCAGCAGUGGGGAAUUUUCCGCAAUGGGCGCAAGCCUGACGGAGCAACGCCGCGUGAGGGACGAAGGCCUCUGGGCUGUAAACCUCUUUUCUCAAGGAAGAAGAAUGACGGUACUUGAGGAAUAAGCCACGGCUAAUUCCGUGCC